CUGCUGUUAUGGCGGACUGCCGAUGUAUUUUUCAAACCCAUUUACUUAAUACUGAACUAUACUCCGAGAACGAAAGUUUUUGGUUUUAAUCCAUAACAACUUUCAGCAGUGGAUGUCUAGGCUCGCACAUCGAUGAAGAACGCUGCGAACUGCGAUACGUAAUGCGAAUUGCAGAAUUCAGUGAGUCAUCGAAAUUUUGAACGCACAUUGCACUUUCGGGUUAUGCCUGGAAGUAUGCUUGUAUCAGUGUCCGUACAUCAAACUUGCCUUUCUUUUCUUGUGUAGUCAAGAUUAGAGAUGGCAGAAUGUGAGGUGUCUCGCUGGCUCCCUCUUCGGAGGAGAAGACGCGAGUCCCUUUAAAUGUACGUUCGCUCUUUCUUGUGUCUAAGAUGAAGUGUGACUUUCGAACGCAGUGAUCUGUUUGGAUCGCUCUGCGCGAGUGGGCGACUUCGGUUAGGACAUUAAAGGAAGCAACCUCUAUUGGCGGUAUGUUAGGCUUCGGCCCGACUUUGCAGCUGACGGGGUGUUGUUUUCUGUUCUUUCCUUGAGGUGUACCUGUCUUGUGUGGGGCAAUGGUCUGGGCAAAUGGUUGUUGUGUAGUAGAAUUUUGCUGCUCUUGGGCGCCCUUUAUGGGUAAAGAAG
rnacentral:misc_RNA from 1 species